GGAGCGUGCCUAAUGUGACUGCUUGCUGGGGUGGGGUGGGUGGGUGUGGGGAGGGGGUCGGCAGCGUUGAGCCUCCUGCCCUCGUACUGUCUACCCCGCCGUGGCCCAAGGCUCCCCCUGCAAACUUGAAAGGACCAAAGGAAUCCCCCCCUAAACCCCCCGACGCCGCCCCCCACAUGUUUUCAGAAGGCAUGACAUCAUCCUUUGCACAAAGGGGGCUGGAGCUGGGGUUAAUAUGGAUGUAUGAGUGAAUGCGUGUGUGUGUGUGUGUGUGAAGGAUACAAACCCAUCAGUCACAGUAUUCAGCUGAAACACAAGAUUUGGCUUUUCUCUUUUUUUGUCCUGUUAGUUACUUUUUUUUGUUUUGUUUUUUUGUUUUUUAACAUUUUUUGACUCUAAAUCAUACUUUGAAUUGUUUGGUGUGUCUAAACGUUCCCGUCCUUUAUUCUCAGGUACUGGAAUCAUUUAAGUCUUGACUCCUCUCAGUCUGCACUGCUGGUCUUUCUUCUCUCUCCUUUCCUUUUUCCUAAAGACAUUUCUACAUCAAUUUUAACCCCAUAUAAUCACUUUCUUGUUGUUUUUCACACAGCGAGUCCACAAACUGAACACUAUUAACUCUCCACUGCCGUGACCUCCUCUCAUCCUGGUCUGCCUCUUGAAUUCUCCGUCAUCACUUUUGGCUCUCUUUACAGCUUUCACUGUGGACUGCAGAGCCAAGCUGUUGUUUUUCUCCUGCGUCUGAAUACGGCGUGGGUGAAGGAAGUUUGGAGCACUUUCAAACAAAUCAGUGCGGUUCACGAAUGUGCAGACGAUGACAAAUGGCUGACAUGGAAGCAUCAGAGGCUGCAGUUUGACUCAAUAAGGAUGCUGAAUGAACUGUUUGCCCUUUAGGCUUCAGUGGGAGAAGUAGCAUGUCAUGAAACAAUCACUUUCUGUUUUAUGUUACCGCAAAUAAAAUCCCGUUAAAAACCAAGGCUUGAGCCUGAUAGUAAUUUCCAUGUGCUAUAGUAGUUGGUGACCUGAUGCCCCAAACUAAUUAAAACACUCUUUGUCAUUUAUGAGAAAUUCACCUGGAAUUUAAACAUAAACAGAAGAUUUAUUUAGUCAGAUUUAUCUAACCUUUUUGGAGACUAAGUGAUCAUACUGAAUACCAAGCUGGGGUCGGAUAUGGUAAGCUGUUUUAACAUUUAAUGGACCAACUUUGAUUUGAGAUAAUUGAAGUAUAAUUUAAAUCAUAUCCACCUGUGGGCAUGAGAUAAAAAUACUAUCUUUUGUGAGAUUUCAAGGGCUCUAUACAUUUAAGAUCUAUGUUUGUACAAUAGGGAAGUUUUGUCUUUUUACACUCUUUCUCUGCCAGUCAAGGAUUUGUUUACUACCCCACUUUAAAGCAAAGCAUCCAUGCGAUUCAACUUCCGGCUAUAAGCCUGGAGUGCCAAUCCUGGAGCAUGUGCAGAACACACAGGCCAGUUUCAGCCUGAUAGAGCUGUAUAGGAGAAAAUCAAUCCCCAACCACAUCACCCAGGUAUAUUUGUCCAACUAUAUGAAAUUUGAUAAAAGUGUGAUUUUAGUCAGUCACUAUUAAUGUGUUCGCAUGGGGUGACCAUAUGUCUUCUUUUACCCAGUCAUGUCCUCUUUUUUGGGGGCUGUCUGGCCUUGUCUGGCUUUGUCCGGUGAAGUUUAUAAAAUCCUUCAAAUGUCCACAGUUUUGUACGGAAGAUUCGAGUUUGUGUCACAUGGACUUACUGAGUUAGAGGUGCGUAAAAGACACUCGAUCCGACCCAAAAAACUCUCAACUUCGUGCGACUCCAUGGCUCCGCCCCUGUGUAGUCGCGUCCUCUUUUUGGGAAUUCAGAAUAUGGUCACCCUAGUUCACGUGAAAAUUAAAAGUCCAGUUUCAGUCUAAGGCAAUUCAUAUCUAUUUUGAACAACGUGUUAACACACCGAUUGUUGAUAAUCAGAAUUUUAACCUGUAAGAAUGUAAUUCUAACUGUGUGAAAUGCUCUCAUUAGUGUCUCAAAUAUCAUAUCAAAGGUAGUGUACUGCAAAGAGCCACACCAUACAGAGACUAAGAGCAAUUUUUUUUUUCACUGUGUUACUGCAAAGAGCCACACCAUACACAUGGGCACACAUGAACAUCACCCCAUCCCUUCCUCACACACACACACACACACACACACACACACACACACACACACACACACACACACACACACACAGACCUCUGCUCAGCCAGAUUUAUUGUAAAUGUCACACACCAACAUGAUAAUGACAGAAAUUGACUCCUACAGUACUAAGACCACAGGCCAGUUAUUUUCAACAAUUAACAUUGUGUGCACUGUCUCUCACACAUAAACUCUCAGUUCAACCAAGUCCACAAACAAAAAUAUGAUAAUUUACAAUAGCGUUUUUCUCUUACUAUGCAUGUUGCUUAGUGGGGGGCUUUCAGACAGUCUGUAGUCGCAUUAAAUGGGUCGACAAGGAACGUAAUCUGUGGCCUUUUCAGUUGUAGAUCACGGAACCGGGUCACAAAGCUUUCGUGCAGGUUUUCAACCAGUGUUGCAUAUCUGUCUCUUUUCUUAUUCAGGGCGGCGCUGGUGACUUGCCUGCUGGCUUUUAGCAGAGUGUGAAAAUGCGUUAAAUCUCCCUUUUGAGUAUGCGCCUUGAACAGCUUCAGUUUGUUGACUAACGCAAACACACUUUGCACCAGAUCAGGCAGCAUUUUUAACUUACCCUGCAGGGUCAGGUUCAGUCUGUCCAAGUGACACAGCAUGUUGACCAAAAAGACCAGAUCCAUAAUCCACUCGAGGUCUGAGAGCUCUGGAUAGUCCUUGUCCUUCUCUUCCAUGAACAGUUUCACGGCAUCCAAAAGCUCAAAGAAGCGAGAGAGUACCUUGCCUUUUGACAGCCACCUCACAGUGCAGUGCAGCGGCAGGUCACCUGGAAGCCCUUGGUCCAGGUCAGCGAUAAGAUUCCUGAAUUGCCUGUGGUUAAGCACAUGUGUGUGGAUGUAGUUGACGAUUUCCAUCACAGGCUUCAUGACGUUGUUUAAAUUCAAUGAUUUAGACAUGAGUUGCUCCGUGUGGAGGAUGCAGUGGAAAUUCAGAAAACUCUGGAAAUGUUUGGUCAGCUUUGCACAGCCCCACAAGCCUGUUCACUGAUCUGAUCAUGGCUGGCGCUCCAUCCAUGGCUACUGCAGUUAGUUUCGGUAUGGGCAGAUUUGUUUCCGCAAAUGUAGCCAUCAUUGUUUCUUUAACAUCUAUGCCACAGGUUCUGUCUUUUAAUGGCACAAUAUCAAGGAGUUCUUCUUUGAUCACACAAUCGUUUGACACAGACCGUGCAAAUAUUGCCAACUGAGGCUUGUCUUGUAUGUCACAACUCUCAUCCAAUGCGACACUAAAAUACUCACAUGCUUGAGGGUCGGAGUGCAACUGUGAUUCAUUAGCCGUGUUAAUAUCCGAUAUUCUGUGUUCAACAGUGUGGCGGGACAGUUGGACAUCUGAUACCUAUCUGAUACUCAUUUUAGUUUGUCGUCUUCAGGAGACAAGAUUUCAACAGCGUCACUGAGGCGAUUUUUAACGAAGUCCCCUUCAUUGUAUGGCUUUUUAGCCUGUGCAAUGUUCCAAGCCAGUUGAUAUGAUGCAAGCGCUACGGUCUCUGAGUGCUUCGUAAAUUUUUGGUGAAACUGUAUCUGCUUUUCUGCCUGACUUUUCAAAGUGACCAACUUGUGCUUGCGAAGUUCAGUCCCUUUUGGAAAUUCCUGGUCGAUGUUAGCAUGGAGUGAGCCGAAGUGGCGCUGAAGAUUUGAAGCUUUGAAAUUACGCCUGACAUAUAAGGCAGAAUGGCUUGCCAUUACGUUCAACAAAAAAAUAUAAACUCUCCCACUCUCUUAAAAACGUCCUGUGUUCAUCUUCAUAUUUUCGUUUUGCUGUGCUUUUUUUCCUUGCCAUUUUGAGAGCGAACUUGACACAAAUUGUUUACUACUCAAAUGAUCUCACGCACAUGCGCGUUCAUGUGAAAGCCCCUUAAGAGCCGCAUGAAACCAGCCAAAGAGCCGCAUGAGGCUCGGGUUGGCCAGGCCUCCCCUAAAUGUUAAAACAGCUCACUGUAACCAGAUGGCAUUUUAAGAAAUAAGACAUUCUCCUGUCAGUGUCUUUUAAGAAGGUGAGGACACAGACCUUUAUAACAGCAGGGGGGUUGUGGUGGGGUUAGACAGAGUCAAUGCCACCAGCAUGGCUAAUGUCAUGGCCACUGAGUUGUAACUGUCGCUCCUGUGAGCAAGCAUUAAAACACACACACACAUAUGAGAGUGAAGAAACAGUCAGGUUUUACAUUUCACAGGCAUAUUCACACAUCUCGUGUGCACGUGCGAACCCCACAUACAUUUCUUGAUUGCUUUUAUCUCUCUCCGUCUCAUUCUGCUCUUACAAGUGUUGCAUGGAGGUGAGGCCUCAGCGCCCUUGCCUGUUUAAUGGGCCGUUCCGUUUGCCAACUGUUCCUUUGAGGGGGCCGAUGUGUCGGGCGUCGGAGCCGGGAUUUGAGGAGGGAGGGUCGGUGCCGUUGGAUCAGACAGAUGGAGGGGGGUCCGGCUCCAUUCAUUUAGGCUCUGUGAGAACAACAGAGCCCCACUUCAAACAACAAGGACGCAACCUGCUGGCCCAAUCGUCUGCAAACGCACACAUAUGUAGACGCGCACACACAUGCUGUAACACAUGCAUGCUUCAAACACACACGUGCGCUUUUAUUAGGGCAUUCUCAGCUUUUUAUCGAUUUAACAUGUCUGAAAUCAAAAUCUACUUGGAGGACAUAAACUCAAGGAUAAAGUUAUCACUGCUGCUGUUCACACUGCAUCUGCAGCUCAUCUCCCACCCUCACAUCUACACAAACCACAUGCGUAUGUACAGGGGGGCACAAAAACAUAGGCUUCCCAGUGCCCACCCCCAUUCCCAGCCCUGCUUUUCCCUGGGACUCUCUCCUCUGCUACCACCCCCCUCCUGAAUUCACUGGCACUUCCAGAAAGCUCCGAGGCGCCAGCGGAGCGGGGCUCAUCUCUUGGGAACAAUAAAGCCAGAUCUUCAUAAAAACUUCAAAAAGGCCUCGCCAAGUGUUUUAUAGGUGCUUUAAAGGUUUAUGGGCCCAGGGGAGGGAAAGAGAGAGAGAGAGAAAUGAGUGAUGCAGUUGUGGCAGGCUUCACUUUUCCCACCCACUGCACACAAACACACACAUAUACACAUACAGAUAUGCACACACGCAAGCGUGAGCGUACAUAUACGCUGCUGCUAAUCCCCCAGUAAGUGCCAGGCUGAGAUCAGGCUGGUGGGAGGCAGGGUGGGGCAGGGGUAGGUGGUGAUUGCUGUGAGGCGGUGGUGUAAGGAAAGCAACAGGUGAUCAGUCAGUGCAGGAAUGAAAUAAAAGAGAGGAAAGAGGAGUGUCACUGUGGACCGUGGAGUCAGUAGAUAGUUGUAAAAGCAACUCAUGUUUCACUAGCGAGGUCACACCACAACACUGUCAUUCAAAUGUUUCACAGAGGUUCAGGAUGUGUUGCUGUUGAAGAUGGACAAGUGGAUGCGAAGGAGAUGAGUAGAGGAAGACAAGAAGUGGGGUUACACUGAGAAAAGAGUCUACCAAAUAGAUAUUGACCCAGAUUGAAUGGACUUAAUCAUAACUUGGGGUUACUUUGGGUCAAUCUUGAUUGAAUUUGAAAUACAUGAACAAGCUCUCGAAGCAUUUUCAACCUUUGCAGAUAAAAAAACGUAGCAUUUUUCAGUCAAACUUCACUAGAAUUUCAACAAAAAUUUCUUAAAUGUUGAAUGAAUUCUCCUACAGAGAUUUUAUUUGGAGUUUUUGCCUCCCAAAAGGUGUUUUUGCCUUGCCACUGUUGCUGAGUUUUUGCUCAUUGGUGGAUUAAUGUUUGGUCCUCUUACAUGAUAAAAGGAAGAGUAUAGUAAUAAAUUUGUUUUUUAUUGAAAGCCAAUCUGCCGAAGCAGGCGGAUGUUCACCAACAAAUCUGUUUCUUGAUGGUUUGAACAGAUUUUAUUUUAUUAAUAGAACUGAGAUGUAUUUGUACAGGAUUUGGUGCUUUAGAAAUAAAAACUGAUGAACUGAUUGAUCGAAUGAUUGAUGGACUUAGAGUGUAUGUUUCUGAUGCCUUAGACUGCGUGUUAUGUAGGUCUGUUUUUCAAAACCGGGACAAGCUGUGGACCAAACUUGAUGCUCAAUUCCUAAACCACUUCAGGAUGGUUUGAAGUUGAAGAGCACAGAGGUGGGACUUUCUGAGAUGGAGGCAACUGAGGCCUUGAGAUUGUUGUUGGUUGCUGUUUUGCAGGCGGAUAUGUUUUGGCACGCAUCAACCGGAUUAUAAGAUCAUGUGCCGUUUGGACUCUUCCAGUUCCAGUACAGGAGCUUAACAGCCUGUGAAUCUCACUUCCCUGCCAGGGGAGAUGCUGACGAAAUCACCUAUCAGAUGAAUCUCUCUGAUAAUGCCGCUUUAGUUUUGUCGCUGCAGAUAUUUUGAUGAGUCACAAGUCGCAGGGUCAAAGCAGAGCACGCUCCACUUUGUAUCUUUUAUGAGCAUGAAUAGUCACUAUUCAGGUUUUUUUUUUUUUUUUUUUGAAUGUUUUCUUUAUAGGUAUUCACAGAGAUGCCAGAGUUAUAUUUAGCUCGGGUCCUCCUGGAGUCAGAAGGUUUAAAAUUAGGAGGUGUCAGAAUUCCAGUUCAAUUCUUAAGUUACUGUCAAUAAACGGUAAAGGGCUGCUCUUAAAGGCGUAGUGUGUCGGCAUGAGUGCAUUAUGCCAUGAUUUGUGCGUGAUAAGCUGCCCCAGGAAGUGUGUGUGAAUUUGUCCUGAUAUAUUACAAAAGUGUAAAUCCUCUGCAUGUCACACAUGUGCUUUUACACAUCUAGAUAUCAGGAUUCCACGGCACACACAGCUCAUGUGCACCAAUGCGUGUUUACGCCUGUGUUUGUGUGUCCUUCUGCGCAUUAGUGUUUGUAGGAUCUGUUGACAGUGAAGCAUGCAGCAUUUUAUUUGCUCAAGGGCUGAAAAAACACAUGGCGCUAGUGAGGGAGCGCUGUGAUAUGAGCCUGCUGAAAGGAAGCUGGCCGGCCAGAACUCAGCCCUGGAUCAAGAUUCAACAAAAACAUUUUAACACACUGAACAUGUAACAUAAAGCGACUCAAGUUUUUGUUGAUGCAUUACUUUGAGUGUACUACUGGGCUUCUAACAGUCAACAAUAAAUAUGCAUGUGAAACAGAAAAGUGUGUCAAGUAUCUUUGACAUGAACCUUUGAAAUGAAAUUGUAAGUUUGACUAACAUUUACUUGUAAGACAAAUCUGCAAGCUUUAAACUUCACAACAAAUCAAUCAGUCUUUACCUGUAUGGCCCCAAUUCACAGUUUAAAGGGAUUUUUCGAGUCAAACACACCGUAACACCGAGUUAGACACCCCCUCCAGAGAUGAAUGCUGCCGACUGCUUGCUUCUUAUUAUACAAACUUUUGUAACGAUUGCAUGAUAGCAAUAUGGCUUUUUGGUUGAGGUUUGUGCUUGGCUCCUUAGACUGCUGUGUAUUGCUAUCGUGUGGUCAUUACUAAAGUUGGUUGUAUACACUACAGGCCAAAAGUUUGGAAGCAAGGCCAUUACCGGCAGUUGGGAGUAACUUCAGGUUUUUGUUCACAAUGCUUUUUUUAAAUCCAGCAUGAGUUUUAUGUAUUUUGGGAUGUAUUUACUCCAUGAUCAGAUGUUGCUUUCAUGGAAAUGCACCAUUUUAAUCCAUUUACCUUUAGAUAUACAUUGAUGUUAACAGACCAUUGCUAAAUAUAUGUCAGCAAAAGAAAAUAAGGGCUUAGUUGCAGGGUUGAAAACAUUU
rnacentral:lncRNA from 1 species